UUCACGUUGAAUGGUGUGUGCUCACCGAGCGUGACUAAGUCCGCGUACUUUCUGGAUUUUGUUGGCGUAAACAUUCAAUAGUUUUCGACUACAUAAACUCAACCUCAGCUGUGGAUAUGAUUUAUGUGUCAUUUGUAUAGUUUAAUAGCUGUUUAUAUGAGGAAUAACUUUUGUUUCACUUUAGCCUAACUUUGAAGUGCAAACUCCAGUUUACAGAUCAAACUCCAGUCACCAAUGCUCCGUACACCGGUUGCUGAAGCCUUGCCAAAUCUCUUCGAGUGCCUCCCAGUACCUAAGCAAGAGGUGCGGCUUAAUAAGACACCUACAAGAAGAUACAGAACAGUCGAUUAACCCAUGUUAUAAAGGUUUGGAGCCAAGAAGGCAGCACAAGAGCACAAUCAAUUUUGGAGUUUAUACUUCUCUUUUCAGCGCAUCGUGGGAAUACAUAUUACGUAGCACUGUGCAGCAAGUCACCAGGAAUGUACCGUUGACUAUAAACACGAAAGGAUGGAGGAUCUUAAAUUAAUUCGCCUAAUGUUGACACUUUCCUGCUAAGCUGAAGGUCCGGUGACAGAGUGGGCCCAUGCCAUGCUGAGUGGACAGAAAACGGACUUAAUUCUAGCCGUUUUGCUCCUCUUCUUCAGCGCCACGAAUAUGAAACGGGCUGGACCAUACAGCCGCGAAACUAUCCUGACACUGAAGUACAUAUUAGAUAAACCCCAAGAGAUGGAAUCGCUUGAGUGCAGUCUUUACACCCCGACGCUGGAUGAAUACACGCAGAAAUGCCCCAUGUCUACCUUCAGUUGCUAUGUAAAUGAGGUGAAAGUCUUGGUGUCAGAGACUGGGAGGUCCCCUAUAAAACGACUAGCCGAACAACUGAUCCAACUGAACAGCACAAGUAAACAACAGAAGGAAAGUGAUGCUUGUCCCUGCUGUGAGUCCUACAGUGAACAGCCCCCAAAAGUCUUCUUAUCUACAUUAAGAAUUAUUCUGGAGAAAAAAAAUACAGCUGUCCAGCAGAAACCACGAGGGACACGUAAUGGAUAGCCAGAGAGAAGGACAAGAAAAAACAGCACGCUAACGAAACAUACUGUACUGUAUUCAUGUUGUUUAUAUUGCUGAGAGUAAGCCCUAUAUUUUUAUAAUUUUAAAGGAUUGUAUUUGUGUUUUGUAUGAAAUGCAUAUUGAUUCGCACUGACCUGUACACCUUGCAAAUUUUUUCAUUAAAAUGGUAAAAAUAUAUUUUUAUUCUUCCAGCAAUGACUUUGCUGAUUUCAACUAAGCUGAGCCUGGGUUGUGUGGUGGUUUCACCUCGGGAUGUUAAGACAAAUGCACAACCCAGAGGUCAUCCAGGAAGGGCGUCUGCUAAAUUACCUAAUGUAAUGACAAUGUGACCAAAAAGCCACUGACACAGUACCAAACUAUAUAACAUUCUCAGAUAUUGUAUUAUAUUGUUAUUAUAAUAUGCACUUUAUUUAGUGGUUAGCCCGCAUCCUCAAGUUGUCUAUCUAGCCUUGGUUUGAAAUAUGUCCAGAGCUUGAUGAAAAAACAUAUAUCUCUCUUUUUUUUUUAAAGGAUGUACUCUGUCACGUUAUUUGUGAGGAGGACUGCCCUAGUAUUAGUUGUGGGUGUGUAUACACUGCCCAAGACCUGCCUGAGUAAUUUUUCUAUUUACAAUGUGUGUUGUACUGAACCUUGAAAGUUAUGUUUGGGCUUGAAGUGCUACUAUCUUUAUCCAUUGUCAUUAAUUUGUACAGAAAUUUUUUAUAAUUGUUUGUAACUAACAUUUAAUUGUCGGUGUAAGAAGAUAUUUUUUUAAGUGUUUAAAAUAUUUUUUUAUAUUAACUUGACAUUUGUAUUAUUAUCAUA